UACGUAGGGAGCAAGCGUUGUCCGGAAUCAUUGGGCGUAAAGCGCGCGUAGGCGGCCCUGUAAGUCCGUUGUGAAAGUCCAGGGCUCAACCCUGGAAAGCGGGUGGAUACUGCCGGGCUAGAAUCCGGAAGAGGCGAGUGGAAUUCCUGGUGUAGCGGUGGAAUGCGCAGAUAUCAGGAGGAACACCAAUAGCGAAGGCAGCUCGCUGGGACGGUAUUGACGCUAAGGCGCGAAAGCGUGGGGAGCAAACAGG
rnacentral:rRNA from 1 species